rnacentral:misc_RNA from 1 species
GAUGAAGAACGUAGCGAAAUGCGAUAAGUAAUGUGAAUUGCAGAAUUCAGUGAACCAUCGAAUCUUUGAACGCACAUUGCGCCCGGCAGUAAUCUGCCGGGCAUGCCUGUCCGAGCGUCAUUUCUCCCCUCGAGCGCAGCUUUCCCCCCCGGGGGAGGGCCGCGCCCGGUGUUGGGGCGCUACGGAGGAGCCCAGCGCUCCCCCGUAGGCCCCGAAAUGUAGUGGCGGUCCCGCCGCGGCGCCCCCUGCGUAGUAGUUUUACAACUCGCAUCGGGUCCCGGCGGAGGCCAGCCGUCAAACCCCCCAACUUCAAUAGUUUGACCUCGGAUCAGGUAGGGUUACCCGCUGAACUUAAGCAUAUCAAUAAUCGGAGGA